AAUUUUCAACCCAGGGCUGAGUUUAACCCCGGGGUUGAAAUUUCAACCCUGCUUCAGCUAGCAGGGUUGAAAUUUCAAUCCCGGGGUUGAACUCAGCCCUGGGUUGAAAA
rnacentral:miRNA from 1 species